rnacentral:rRNA from 1 species
UACGUAGGGCGCAAGCGUUGUCCGGAAUUAUUGGGCGUAAAGCGCACGUAGGCGGCUUUGUAAGUUAGAGGUGAAAGCCCGGGGCUCAACUCCGGAACUGCCUUUAAGACUGCAUCGCUAGAAUUGUGGAGAGGUGAGUGGAAUUCCGAGUGUAGAGGUGAAAUUCGUAGAUAUUCGGAAGAACACCAGUGGCGAAGGCGACUCACUGGACACAUAUUGACGCUGAGGUGCGAAAGCGUGGGGAGCAAACAGG